rnacentral:rRNA from 1 species
GCGGUAGGAUGUCGAUUUGGAGGUUGUGCCCUUGAGGCGUGGCUUCCGGAGCUAACGCGUUAAAUCGACCGCCUGGGGAGUACGGCCGCAAGGUUAAAACUCAAAUGAAUUGACGGGGGCCCGCACAAGCGGUGGAGCAUGUGGUUUAAUUCGAUGCAACGCGAAGAACCUUACCUGGUCUUGACAUCCACAGAACUUUCCAGAGAUGGAUUGGUGCCUUCGGGAACUGUGAGACAGGUGCUGCAUGGCUGUCGUCAGCUCGUGUUGUGAAAUGUUGGGUUAAGUCCCGCAACGAGCGCAACCCUUAUCCUUUGUUGCCAGCGGUUAGGCCGGGAACUCAAAGGAGACUGCCAGUGAUAAACUGGAGGAAGGUGGGGAUGACGUCAAGUCAUCAUGGCCCUUACGACCAGGGCUACACACGUGCUACAAUGGCAUAUACAAAGAGAAGCGACCUCGCGAGAGCAAGCGGACCUCAUAAAGUAUGUCGUAGUCCGGAUUGGAGUCUGCAACUCGACUCCAUGAAGUCGGAAUCGCUAGUAAUCGUAGAUCAGAAUGCUACGGUGAAUACGUUCCCGGGCCUUGUACACACCGCCCGUCACACCAUGGGAGUGGGUUGCAAAAGAAGUAGGUAGCUUAACCUUCGGGAGGGCGCUUACCACUUUGUGAUUCAUGACUGGGGUGAAGUCGUAACAAAGGUAACCGUAGAGUUUGAUCCUGGCU